GCACAUAUCUCAAAGUCAUCAUUUAACUACCUGCAUAGAUCAUAGCUCUCAAAGCGUUCCCAACUUCAUCAUCCAUCUACUUGCAUAGAUUUCAAAGCGAAUAGUGAAAAAUCAAACAAUCACUAAGUGCAAAGGAAGACAUAUCCUUCUUUCGCGCAAAGGAUAUAACUACAUUCCUUUAUUUUUACCCUUCAGUCCAAGCAAUGUCAAGAGCGAUAGCUAGCCUAGGGUUUGCACAACACUCAAAUGCCACAUCACCAUGCUAACCGAGCCAUGUCGGCAAAUCAUCCGAGUCGAUUCUAUUGUCGCUUUCUUUUCUUUCACACCCCCCACUGACCCCAUUUAAAUAGUCGUGCAGGAUGCUGUGGCGGCCAGCACUUUCAUUAGUACUGUAAUUUGUUUAUAUCCUAUGCGAUCUAUUAAAUUACCCUAAUAAUUUAUUAAUUUUAAUUAUAUUUUUAUAAUCCCACUCU
rnacentral:lncRNA from 1 species